rnacentral:rRNA from 1 species
AUGCCGCAGGCAGCGCUGGCGCUGGACGUGACGCUGUUCCCCCCGCUCGCCGGCGUAGCCGCUGCUACUGAGGCUGGGCGGACCGGCGUCGCCGUAGCCGUCCUCCUCCUCCUCGAGCCCCUGGAACUCCUCCCUCCUCCGGGACGCGGCCGUGCUGCUCCCGCCUCUGGACGCGGCCGUCACUUACCCCUCGUCCUCGUCCUCCGCGGCGAUCUCGUGUCCGGCGGCGGCGAACUCCGCGGGCAGGUCAGCGGCACGGAGGGAGAGCGCGGCCAGGGCCUCGCUGGCGGGGGCCGGAUCGGGGGCCAGGGCCUCGCUCCAGUUCUUCCCGAUGAACACGGAGCAGCAGGAGCUUGA